UUGGAGGGCAAGUCUGGUGCCAGCAGCCGCGGUAAUUCCAGCUCCAAUAGCGUAUAUUAAAGUUGUUGCAGUUAAAAAGCUCGUAGUUGAAUUUCGGGGUUUAUACGUUGGUCGGGCUUUUGGGUCUGUACUGGCGUAAUGAAUUCCUACCUUCUGAAUAACCAGCAUGUCAUUAAUUUGAUGCGCCGGGGAAGCAGGACUGUUACCUUGAAAAAAUUAGAGUGCUUAAAGCAGGCUAUUGCCUGAAUACAUUAGCAUGGAAUAAUGAAAUAGGACGGCAUGGUUCUAUUUUGUUGGUUUCUAGGAUCACCGUAAUGAUUAAUAGGGAUAGUUGGGGGCAUUAGUAUUCAAUUGUCAGAGGUGAAAUUCUUGGAUUUAUUGAAGACUAACUUCUGCGAAAGCAUUUGCCAAGGAUGUUUUCAUUAAUCAAGAACGAAAGUUAGGGGAUCGAAGACGAUCAGAUACCGUCGUAGUCUUAACCAUAAACUAUGCCGACUAGGGAUCGGACGAUGUUAAUUUUUUAAUGACUCGUUCGGCGCCUUACGGGAAAC
rnacentral:rRNA from 1 species